rnacentral:rRNA from 1 species
AUUGAACGCUGGCGGCAUGCCUUACACAUGCAAGUCGAACGGUAACAGGUCUUCGGAUGCUGACGAGUGGCGAACGGGUGAGUAAUACAUCGGAACGUGCCUAGUAGUGGGGGAUAACUACUCGAAAGAGUGGCUAAUACCGCAUGAGAUCUACGGAUGAAAGCAGGGGAUCGCAAGACCUUGUGCUACUAGAGCGGCCGAUGGCAGAUUAGGUAGUUGGUGGGAUAAAAGCUUACCAAGCCGACGAUCUGUAGCUGGUCUGAGAGGACGAUCAGCCCCACUGGGACGGAGAAACGGCCCAGACUCCGACGGGAGGGAGCAGUGGGGAAUUUUGGACAAUGGGCGAAAGCCUGAUCCAGCAAUGCCGCGUGCAGGAUGAAGGCCUUCGGGUUGUAAACUGCUUUUGUACGGAACGAAAAGCCCCGGGUUAAUACCCUGGGGUCAUGACGGUACCGUAAGAAUAAGCACCGGCUAACUACGUGCCAGCCGCCGCCGUAA